ACGGAGGAUCCAAGCGUUAUCCGGAAUCAUUGGGUUUAAAGGGUCCGUAGGCGGUCUUAUAAGUCAGUGGUGAAAGCCCAUCGCUCAACGAUGGAACUGCCAUUGAUACUGUAAGACUUGAAUACUUGUGAAGUAACUAGAAUAUGUAGUGUAGCGGUGAAAUGCUUAGAUAUUACAUGGAAUACCAAUUGCGAAGGCAGGUUACUAACAAGUUAUUGACGCUGAUGGACGAAAGCGUGGGGAGCGAACAGGAUUAGAUACCCUGGUAGUCCACGCCGUAAACGAUGGAUACUAGCUGUUCGGAGCAAUCUGAGUGGCUAAGCGAAAGUGAUAAGUAUCCCACCUGGGGAGUACGCACGCAAGUGUG
rnacentral:rRNA from 1 species